CAGCCAUAUUGUUGUUUAUCAGCUGUUCACGAGAUAAGGUGGUCAUACGGUCUCGGUAUGGGUGAGAUAAAGCUAUAGAAACAGUAACAGUGAUAUAACGGGGACUGUAAUACGCUUUAUGUAAGAGUCGGGGAGAUGCAGGAUUCUGCAUUUCCAAUUAAGAUGUGAAUAAUGAAAAUGUAAAGACAUUUAGAUAGUAAAAAUAGAAUUAUUUGAUUUUGAGGGAUUCAGUUCAUUCGUCAUUAUCUUUUACUUCGUGUUCUGGUUU